GAUAAACGCUGGCGGCGUGCCUAAUACAUGCAAGUCGAGCGAACGGACGAGAAGCUUGCUUCUCUGAUGUUAGCGGCGGACGGGUGAGUAACACGUGGAUAACCUACCUAUAAGACUGGGAUAACUUCGGGAAACCGGAGCUAAUACCGGAUAAUAUUUUGAACCGCAUGGUUCAAAAGUGAAAGACGGUCUUGCUGUCACUUAUAGAUGGAUCCGCGCUGCAUUAGCUAGUUGGUAAGGUAACGGCUUACCAAGGCAACGAUGCAUAGCCGACCUGAGAGGGUGAUCGGCCACACUGGAACUGAGACACGGUCCAGACUCCUACGGGAGGCAGCAGUAGGGAAUCUUCCGCAAUGGGCGAAAGCCUGACGGAGCAACGCCGCGUGAGUGAUGAAGGUCUUCGGAUCGUAAAACUCUGUUAUUAGGGAAGAACAUAUGUGUAAGUAACUGUGCACAUCUUGACGGUACCUAAUCAGAAAGCCACGGCUAACUACGUGCCAGCAGCCGCGGUAAUACGUAGGUGGCAAGCGUUAUCCGGAAUUAUUGGGCGUAAAGCGCGCGUAGGCGGUUUUUUAGUCUGAUGUGAAAGCCCACGGCUCAACCGUGGAGGGUCAUUGGAAACUGGAAAACUUGAGUGCAGAAGAGGAAAGUGGAAUUCCAUGUGUAGCGGUGAAAUGCGCAGAGAUAUGGAGGAACACCAGUGGCGAAGGCGACUUUCUGGUCUGUAACUGGCGCUGAUGUGCGAAAGCGUGGGGAUCAAACAGGAUUAGAUACCCUGGUAGUCCACGCCGUAAACGAUGAGUGCUAAGUGUUAGGGGGUUUCCGCCCCUUAGUGCUGCAGCUAACGCAUUAAGCACUCCGCCUGGGGAGUACGACCGCAAGGUUGAAACUCAAAGGAAUUGACGGGGACCCGCACAAGCGGUGGAGCAUGUGGUUUAAUUCGAAGCAACGCGAAGAACCUUACCAAAUCUUGACAUCCUUUGACAACUCUAGAGAUAGAGCCUUCCCCUUCGGGGGACAAAGUGACAGGUGGUGCAUGGUUGUCGUCAGCUCGUGUCGUGAGAUGUUGGGUUAAGUCCCGCAACGAGCGCAACCCUUAAGCUUAGUUGCCAUCAUUAAGUUGGGCACUCUAGGUUGACUGCCGGUGACAAACCGGAGGAAGGUGGGGAUGACGUCAAAUCAUCAUGCCCCUUAUGAUUUGGGCUACACACGUGCUACAAUGGACAAUACAAAGGGCAGCGAAACCGCGAGGUCAAGCAAAUCCCAUAAAGUUGUUCUCAGUUCGGAUUGUAGUCUGCAACUCGACUACAUGAAGCUGGAAUCGCUAGUAAUCGUAGAUCAGCAUGCUACGGUGAAUACGUUCCCGGGUCU
rnacentral:rRNA from 1 species